rfam:Triticum urartu cultivar G1812 contig1450204, whole genome shotgun sequence.
CUCAAUGGUGAGCCUGGUGGGGGCUUCUCAUGAAGCGCCGAUUUGCCAAAUGUUCGGUACGCCAACCCUGCCUGGCUUGCCACCCUG